AUACGGAGGGGGUUAGCGUUGUUCGGAAUUACUGGGCGUAAAGCGCACGUAGGCGGACUGGAAAGUUGGGGGUGAAAUCCCGGGGCUCAACCCCGGAACUGCCUCCAAAACUUCCAAUCUAGAGAUCAAGAGAGGUGAGUGGAAUUCCAAGUGUAGAGGUGAAAUUCGUAGAUAUUUGGAGGAACACCAGUGGCGAAGGCGGCUCACUGGCUCGAUACUGACGCUGAGGUGCGAAAGCGUGGGGAGCAAACAGGAUUAGAAACCCUAGUAGUCC
rnacentral:rRNA from 1 species